AUUGAACGCUGGCGGCAUGCCUUACACAUGCAAGUCGAACGGCAGCACGGGAGCAAUCCUGGUGGCGAGUGGCGAACGGGUGAGUAAUGUAUCGGAACGUGCCCAGUCGUGGGGGAUAACGUAGCGAAAGCUACGCUAAUACCGCAUACGAUCUAUGGAUGAAAGCGGGGGACCGUAAGGCCUCGCGCGAUUGGAGCGGCCGAUAUCAGAUUAGGUAGUUGGUGGGGUAAAGGCCUACCAAGCCGACGAUCUGUAGCUGGUCUGAGAGGACGACCAGCCACACUGGGACUGAGACACGGCCCAGACUCCUACGGGAGGCAGCAAUGGGGAAUUUUGGACAAUGGGCGCAAGCCUGAUCCAGCAAUGCCGCGUGCAGGAUGAAGGCCUUCGGGUUGUAAACUGCUUUUGUACGGAGCGAAAAGGCUCCCUCUAAUACAGGGGGCUCAUGACGGUACCGUAAGAAUAAGCACCGGCUAACUACGUGCCAGCCGCCGCGGUAAGAC
rnacentral:rRNA from 1 species